GGUUAAGGAAAUCUUGGCGAGAUCGUCUAAUACUAGGAGUGGUGCGAAUACUCAACUGAUCUAGGAUAACUGAAGGUUAUUCGUUAAUCAAGGAUACCAGGAGUAGUGAAUAAUAUUUCAAAACCAAUAGUGGGUGAAACUCAAGGAAAUCUUAGUGGGUUGCUAAGUACCAAGAGUGGUGAGAAUAUUCAAUUGAUCUAGGGUAACUGAAGGUUAUUCGUUGAUCAGGGAUACCAGGAGUGGUGAAGAAUAUUGCACAACCAGGAGUAGGUGAAACUCAAGGAAAUCUUAGCGGGUUAUUAAGUACUAGGAGUGGUGCGAAUACUCAAGGAAAUCUCGGUGGGUUGCUGAGUACCAGGAGUGGUGCGAAUACUCAACUAAUCUAGGGUAAUUGGAGAUUAUUUGCUAAUUAAGGACACUAGGAGUGAUGAAUAAUACUACACAACCAGAAGUGGGGGAAAUUAAACUAGACGGGUUUCUCAAAGGCAUUGAGAACGUCUAGGGAUACCAAGAAUAGUGAAUAAUACUACGCAAUCAGGAGUGAGUUAAACUCAACUGCAUUUCAUUGAAUAUCUAAUGGAACUUUCUUAGUUAAUUUAGAGGAGAAUUGGACAUAGCCUUAACAGGUGAACCAGUAUAAAACAUCUUGUGUGUUUUUGUCUAUUGAUAAACUAUGUAGUUUGUUAACCUCUUCUAAGCUCACUCUCCUAUAACAUGCUUUAUGACAAUUAAGGUCAUUGUUU
rnacentral:lncRNA from 1 species